AACGAACGCUGGCGGCAUGCCUAACACAUGCAAGUCGAACGAGACCUUCGGGUCUAGUGGCGCACGGGUGCGUAACGCGUGGGAACCUUCCCUUAGGGUCGGAAUAACUCCCCGAAAGGGGUGCUAAUACCGGAUAAUGUCUUCGGACCAAAGAUUUAUCGCCUUUGGAUGGGCCCGCGUUGGAUUAGCUAGUUGGUAGGGUAAAAGCCUACCAAGGCGACGAUCCAUAGCUGGUCUGAGAGGAUGAUCAGCCACACUGGGACUGAGACACGGCCCAGACUCCUACGGGAGGCAGCAGUGGGGAAUAUUGGACAAUGGGCGAAAGCCUGAUCCAGCAAUGCCGCGUGAGUGAUGAAGGCCUUAGGGUUGUAAAGCUCUUUUACCCGGGAUGAUAAUGACAGUACCGGGAGAAUAAGCUCCGGCUAACUCCGUG
rnacentral:rRNA from 1 species